GAUGAACGCUGGCGGCGUGCCUAGUACAUGCAAGUCGAGCGAACGGACGAGAAGCUUGCUUCUCUGAUGUUAGCGGCGGACGGGUGAGUAACACGUGGAUAACCUACCUAUAAGACUGGGAUAACUUCGGGAAACCGGAGCUAAUACCGGAUGAUAUUUUGAACCGCAUGGUUCAAAAGUGAAAGACGGUCUUGCUGUCACCUAUAGAUGGAUCCGCGCUGCAUUAGCUAGUUGGUAAGGUAACGGCUUACCAAGGCAACGAUGCAUAGCCGACCUGAGAGGGUGAUCGGCCACACUGGAACUGAGACACGGUCCAGACUCCUACGGGAGGCAGCAGUAGGGAAUCUUCCGCAAUGGGCGAAAGCCUGACGGAGCAACGCCGCGUGAGUGAUGAAGGUCUUCGGAUCGUAAAACUCUGUUAUUAGGGAAGAACAUAUGUGUAAGUAACUGUGCACAUCUUGACGGUACCUAAUCAGAAAGCCACGGCUAACUACGUG
rnacentral:rRNA from 1 species